rnacentral:rRNA from 1 species
AGUGGACGCUGGCGGCGUGCUUAACACAUGCAAGUCGAACGAGAACGGGUUAUAGCUUGCUAUAAUUGUCAGCUAAGUGGCGCACGGGUGAGUAAUGUAUAGGUAAUAUGCCUCUUACUAAGGGAUAACAAAUGGAAACGUUUGCUAAUACCUUAUACUCCUUAUUAACAGAAGUUAAUAAGGGAAAGAUUUAUUGGUAAGAGAUUAGCCUGUAUUGUAUCAGUUAGUUGGUGGGGUAAUGGCUUACCAAGACUAUGACACAUAACUGGUUUGAGAGGAUGAUCAGUCACACUGGAACUGAGGCACGGUCCAGACUCCUACGGGAGGCAGCAGUGGGGAAUAUUGCACAAUGGACGGAAGUCUGAUGCAGCAACGCCGCGUGGAGGAUGACACAUUUCGGUGCGUAAACUCCUUUUAUAUGAGAAGAUAAUGACGGUAUUAUAUGAAUAAGCACCUGCUAACUCCGUGCCAGCAGCCGCAGUAAAAC